AUUGAACGCUGGCGGCAGGCCUAACACAUGCAAGUCGAGCGGAGCGGCGGACGGGUGAGUAAUGCCUAGGACUCUGCCUGGUAGUGGGGGAUAACGUCCGGAAACGGGCGCUAAUACCGCAUACUAUCAGAUGAGCCUAGGUCGGAUUAGCGAGUUGGAGGGGUAAAGGCCUACCAAGGCGACGAGCCGUAACUGGUCUGAGAGGAUGAUCAGUCACACUGGAGCUGAGACAAGGUCCAGACUCCGACGGGAGGCAGCAGGUGUGAAGAUUGGACAAUGGGCGAAAGCCUGAUCCAGCCAUGGCGCUUGUGUGAAGAAGGUCUUCGGAUUGUAGAGCACUUUAAGUUGGUAGGCGUUACCAACAGAAUAAGCACCGGCUAACUUCGUGCCAGCAGCCGCGGUAAUAC
rnacentral:rRNA from 1 species